UACGGGGGGGGCAAGCGUUGUUCGGAAUUACUGGCGUAAAGGGCUCGUAGGCGGCCAACUAAGUCGGAUGUGAAAUCCCCAGGCUUAACCUGGGAACUGCAUCUGAUACUGGAUGGCUUGAAUCCGGGAGAGGGAUGCAGAAUUCCAGGUGUAGCGGUGAAAUGCGUAGAUAUCUGGAGGAAUACCGGUGGCGAAGGCGGCAUCCUGGACCGGCAUUGACGCUGAUGAGCGAAAGCCAGGGGAGCAAACGGG
rnacentral:rRNA from 1 species